GUGUUAGCUAUGGCAGCACAGAUACUAAAACUAAAACAAUACAAAGAUAAGCAUGGACCCAGCCCAAGAAUGACAUGCAAAUUUAUGAAGCAUCCCAUACUUUG